UUUAAGUUAGGGAUUGCAAUGUAAAUCCUUUUGAACGACUUAUCUCAAAAGAUUGAAAUGAAAAGCCCGGUGGCGA
rnacentral:sRNA from 1 species